ACGUAGGUGGCAAGCGUUAUCCGGAUUUAUUGGGUGUAAAGGGCGUGUAGGCGGGAUUGCAAGUCAGAUGUGAAAACUAUGGGCUUAACCCAUAGCCUGCAUUUGAAACUGUAGUUCUUGAGUGCUGGAGAGGCAAUCGGAAUUCCGUGUGUAGCGGUGAAAUGCGUAGAUAUACGGAGGAACACCAGUGGCGAAGGCGGAUUGCUGGACAGUAACUGACGCUGAGGCGCGAAAGCGUGGGGAGCAAA
rnacentral:rRNA from 1 species